GUUGAAGCGGGUCCGGAGCGGCGGAUCAUCCGCGGGAUCCGGAUCGGGAUCAGGAGAGGGUCCUCGCCCCCUCGGGCGGGGAGCCGGGGGAGGGGGGACGGAUCAUUCUCUGCCAAGCGAGACCGACAAGAACCAUGCGUUAAAGUUAGACCUACGGUGAGAGAUUUAUUGGAAGAAAAGCCCACAACUGGAAGCAAACCACGACUGAAGACAAGGGAACAGCAACAAGUGAACCAGCCCGAGGACUGAGAGCACCAACUGGAGAGAACCCUUCUGACUCAGGGUUUCCAUCGAUUCAGUCAGGAGAAAGUCUGGAUCUGUGUAUUACUGGAGAACCAUCAGAAAUCGCCCUUGCUCCCCUUCUCCCAUCCGGCUCCAUCUGCUCAAACCCUGCCCAUCUGGUUCAGUCUCUGUCUAGCCUGCAUCCCCCCACCUCAGUGAUAUAUAUCAGCCAUCUUGUUCAGCCACUGUCCAGCCUGUGUCCCAUUGCUGAAAUGAUAUAUUUCAGCAAACUCUCUUUUAAACUUUGUCUUUAUUGUGAAGUUUUGUUUUGCAUGUUUUCCAGGAUUGUUUCUUUUUGAUAGCUGGAGCUACCAGAGGUUUAAUUGAAUGCAGCAUGUGGCAGGG